AGUGAAUAGAUACCCUGGUAGUCCACACCGUAAACGAUGAUCACUAGUCGUCGGAGGAUUCGACCCCUUCGGUGACGUCGCUAAACGCAUUAAGUGAUCCACCUGGGGAGUACGCUCGCAAGGGUGAAACUCAAAGGAAUUGACGGGAGCCCGCACAAGCGGUGGAGCAUGUGGUUUAAUUCGAUGCAACGCGAAGAACCUUACCUGGGCUCGAAGUGUAGUGUAAACUCAUGAAAGUGAGGUAUCCCUUCGGGGAGCGCUACAUAGGUGCUGCAUGGCUGUCGUCAGCUCGUGUCGUGAGAUGUUGGGUUAAGUCCCGCAACGAGCGCAACCCUUGUCCUUAGUUGCCAUCAGGUAAAGCUGGGAACUCUAAGGAGACUGCCGGCGUUAAGUCGGAGGAAGGUGGGGUAUGACGUCAAGUCCUCAUGGCCCUUACGGUCCAGGGCUACACACGUGCUACAAUGGCCGGUAC
rnacentral:rRNA from 1 species